rnacentral:snoRNA from 1 species
CUGUGAACCUAAAACUGCUCUGAAAAAGCCUAUUCAAAGAUUUUUUUUUUUUUUUUUAAAGCAGGGGAACAUUUGCUAUAUUAAGAUCACACGUGUGUCUCCAGACCUAGUUCUUUCUCUAGGUCUGGUUUUAUAAAGACUGGUGGUAAAC